rnacentral:rRNA from 1 species
GGAAACCUUACGAGGAUAAGACAAACGAAGGAUUGACAGAUUGAUCGCUCUUUCUUGAUUGUUUGGGUGGUGGUGCAUGGCCGUUCUUAGUUCGUGGAUUAAUUUGUCUGGUUAAUUCCGUUAACGAACGAGACUUUAACUUGCUAGUUGGAUUUACAUAUUCUUAUGGAAAUCUGCUAGAAGGACCAUGUGUGUCUAACACAAGGAAGCGUGAAGCAAUAA